UAUCUCGGGUGCCAAGAACGCU
rnacentral:siRNA from 1 species